GAGGCUUCAAGGAAGACCUAAAGGCCUUCAUCUUGCACUAGUGUUGGUCUCAAAGGGCCCAAACAUGCCUUGGAUCAGCCAAGAACACAUGAAGUUCAGGAAGCCAUAUGGGUUAUGGAUGGUCCCACACAGACCUUGACCUACUGCUUGGUCUCCUCACUGGCAUUUUUUGCUCUUUCCAGGCAAAGCUGCUGCACUUGAAACAGUCACAGUUGCUCUGUCGACUAUUUGAUCACAUUCAGCCUGUAUCUGCUUACAUUAUUCAUCCUCUCUGUGGAACUGUGAAAUCCCCACACACCUCAUGUGUCAUGAAGCAAAACAACUCGAAUUUCAGGCCUGUGCAUAUGAACAAAACCAUCAAAAACAAGUGGGGAAGUGGUGGAGAAACGAGAGCAGCGACCUGAGAUCAUUCACCCACAACAAAACCCGUGCUGCAAAACUCAGGCUGUCCACAAGGUCACCAGGAUUGCAGCACACAUCAACCUGCAUGGAGCUUGUCCACCUGUGAGCAGACAGAGGGCUCCAAGAAGGAAGAUCUCUCCAGAGGGUAAAACAUCCCUAUCUGCUCCCACAACAGCUAAAAGCCAGCACGUGGAGGAACUCAGAGCUGAGGAUGAACAUCCCGUGUCCUCCAGCUCAUCCCGAGGCGAGGCAGAGCCCUGGACACAAGCAUGGUGGCAUCGGAAGGUACUACACGGUGCUUCUGAUCCUGCAUGAGAAAGUGAUCGGAAUCACCUUUGCUUUAUUUUUUUUUUCCCCACCCUCUAAGGUCUCGCACGCAGGUGCUGCAGCAUUGUGCCGCCAUUUCCUGUGUGACAAUCUUUUUGCUAAUGCUCAAGACCACCAAAAAAAGAUCGGAAGGUUUGGGAUUUUAUGCAGCAGAGGAUGCAUUAAACAAACAAACAAACAAAGACUCCAAGCCAAGAGCAGGAUGCUUUUAACGCACCGACUGAACGCCUUCCCCAAACCUUUUUUACAACUUUGCAAACACGCUUCAGCCGACAUGAAUGCAGGAGCCCAUUAAGGUUAACGAGUUGUUUCGCACCCAGACACCUGCUCAGACCCGCACGGGUUCAUGCGGGCCCCCCUGGCCCAGCUGCAGAGCGCAGGGGCUCGGGGAGAGCGGCGGCUCCCGGGAGGAAAAUCCUUCCCCAGGGUGGACGUUGGAGGCAGCGCCCGCUCCCAGCGCCGCUCGGGGAAGCCUUAAUGAAAAGCAGCUCAUCAGCAGUUACGUAACCUAAUGAUAAUCCGGCUCAGGCCGGGCAAUACUUAAAGCCACAGCGUCUCUCUGCCGUGACCUAUUUUAUGCUCGAUGCAAGGGCGAAAAGUAUGUGGUUUGUAACUCUGCUGCGUCUUUCAGCGGGGAGUUACUGCCUGUCGGUGGAAGAGCCCCCUGCGCACGCUUCUUCUGCUUUCCUGGCUGCAAAGCAACCGCUUCGGGUUUGUCGGUGGCUUUUUAUGGUAUCGGCUCCAAGGGCAGGCACAGCAGAGAGCGAAUUUGUAAACAAUUAGAAGGAAAACACUUAAUGUCCUGCAGGAAACUCGGUGCACUUUGAUUUCAGCUUCAGAAGCUGCAGAGGGUCUGGGGGUAUGUUGCAGAACACUUUUGAUGCCACGUUGAAGCACACAGACAGUUUUUGGUUUUAUUAGAACUCAGAGAAGAAAAUGCAUGCUUCCACGUUCAGGGGUCAUAUUUGAUUUAAGAAAUUGGUGAAGAUGGCACUGACGUAACUCGAACUUGUAUGACUGGCCAGCCCCAUGUUACCAUUUUUUACCUCUCAAUCUGCAGAAGUAUCAACAAGAGAUUAAGCACAGAGAUGGUGAUUCAGAUCUCUGCAUUUAAUCUGGCCACAGAUGGUGUGAAAAGAGGGACAGCCCUACAAAAUAGCAACAGAUUGUUGUUUGUUUUUUUCCUCAACAAUCACUUUUUUGUUUAAUAAAGAGAGAGAACAAGUGGCCAAAUUUAAAAUACAGAGGAAACCUCAGUUUCUUACAGUUGCCCUCCUAGAGAGCUUCGAAGCAUUAUUAAUGGACUGAUUUCUGUUAAUGAUUAAUAAUGGGAUUGUGUUUAUGUACUUAACUAAAGUUAUUAUUGUUACCAUUAUGAAUUCCUAUCUUUCCUAGGGUAAAUAUUCCAGUUUGUAGAACAUUGAACAAGUUAAUGACACAGCAGGUUGCAAAAAGGAGGUUGUAGUGCUGUUCUGACUAUAAGGAGCACUGCCCAUUACACAUAGUAUACUCAUUUUGGACAACACUUAUGCUUACACAGAACCCUGUUGUUUUCAGCUUAGUGAUACCAAUGCUUUAUAUUUACUUCCACAAGGAAUGCUACCAUGCUUUGCAAAAAUGUACUACUAUGCCUGAUACUUGGUGCUGACAGAUUCCCAGAGCAGAUGAUGUGGAUCUGCUGAUUUCUUCUGGGUUGGAUAAGUUGCCCAGGCUAAUAUGGAGUGUUUUUUAAAAGCUGAUUUUUAAUGCCCAACAUUAGGCAGCUUAAGGUCAGAAAUUAAAUUACUAUUUAAAAGAUCUACAAAACUUAAUGUUGGUAGAAAUAUUUAAUUAUGUUUAGAAAGUAAAAUAAUAAUUUAAAAAACUGUGGUGGUCAUGUUUGUUGGCUUUUGAAACAUCUUCCUGUGGAGCCUGCAACCAAAACAUUGCUGCAUUGUACUCACAUUUAAGAAACAGAAAGUGGAGCUAAAUGUAGAUUAUUGAAAUAGUGUGGCUGAUUAUGAACUCUGAAGGGAAAUCACGUAACCUCAUUUUAUCUCAUCUGAGCAAAAGUCCAACAAAAAACAAAGGAAAUACAUUUUUUUCAGUUUUAGUCAUCUCAGGUAUUACUAAUCACAGAAGUAGAAUAAAUGCAUUUGAAUGUGCUUCAGAGCCCUUUAAAGUGAAAUCAUUAAAUCAGGUGUGAAGGGGUUGCUUCUAGAUGAGAGGGUUAAACAGCUCUUCUCAGCCCUGUGAAGGUACCAAGCCCUUGCACAGGUCAGCUGUGCUGGGUAUUGGUGUCUGUGCCUGCCUGUAUCUGCAGUUCAACCCUGCUCCUAAUGUGUUUGGCUAA